AUGGAGCAGACCCGAAACCGGGUGAUCUAGCCAUGGGCAGGUUGAAGCAGAAGUGAAAUUCUGUGGAGGACCGAACCGACUACCGUUGAAAAGUUAGCGGAUGACCUGUGGCUAGGGGAGAAAUUCCAAUCGAACCCGGAGAUAGCUGGUUCUCCCCGAAAUAGCUUUAGGGCUAGCGUCGGAGGAUGACAGACGGAGGUAGAGCACUGAACGCAUGAUGGCCCCAUCCCGGGGUACUGAAUGCGAUCAAACUGCGAAUGCCGACUGGGAGGAAUCCGGCAGUGAGACUGUGGGUGAUAAGGUCCAUGGUCGAGAGGGAAAGAGCCCAGACCGCCAGCAAAGGUCCCAAAAUACUGGCUAAGUGGAAAAGGAUGUGGGGACGCACGGACAGCUAGGAGGUUGGCUCAGAAGCAGCCAUCCUUGAAAGAGUGCGUAACAGCUCACUAGUCGAGUGGCCCUGCGCCGAAAAUGUACCGGGGCUUAAGCCAGGUACCGAAGCUGCGGAUGUAUAUGGAAGUAUAUGUGGUAGGGGAGCGUUGCAUGCAGGAAGAAGUAUGACGGAGACGGCAUAUGGACAGCAUGGAAGAGAGAAUGCCGGUGUGAGUAGCGAGAUGCAGGUGAGAAUCCUGCACACCGAAAGCCCAAGGAUUCCAGGGGAAGGUUCGUCCGCCCUGGGUAAGUCGGGACCUAACGUGAGGCCGAAAGGCGCAGCGGAUGGAAAGCAGGCGGAGAUUCCUGCACCCGUAUAUGGAGCGAAGGAGUGACGGAGAAGGCAGAUGCGACCCUCUUACUGGAUUGAGGGCCAAGCGAAGCAGGUGGUAUCCAGGCAAAUCCGGAUAC
rnacentral:rRNA from 1 species